AGAUUGAACGCUGGCGGCAGGCCUAACACAUGCAAGUCGAGCGGUAGAGAGGUGCUUGCAUCUCUUGAGAGCGGCGGACGGGUGAGUAAUGCCUAGGAAUCUGCCUAGUGGUGGGGGAUAACGUUCGGAAACGGACGCUAAUACCGCAUACGUCCUACGGGAGAAAGCGGGGGGACCUUCGGGCCUCGCGCCAUUAGAUGAGCCUAGGUCGGAUUAGCUAGUUGGUGAGGUAAUGGCUCACCAAGGCGACGAUCCGUAACUGGUCUGAGAGGAUGAUCAGUCACACUGAACUGAGACACGGUCCAGACUCCUACGGGAGGCAGCGAGUGGGGAAUAUUGGACAAUGGGACGAAAGCCUGAUCCAGCCAUGCGCGUGUGUGAAGAAGGUCUUCGGAUUGAAAGCACGUUUAAGUGGAAGUAAGGGUUACGUAACUAAUACGUGACUACUUUAGACGUUACGAC
rnacentral:rRNA from 1 species